rnacentral:lncRNA from 1 species
ACUUGCGAUGGAGACCAAAUGGCCCCCAGCCUGAAAUACUGGCUGCCCGGCCCUUUGCAGAAGUCGAUUGCUGACUCCCGUGUCAAACUUAUGGCAGAACUGGAAUGACUUCAACCCUGUAAAGAUGCCACAUAUAAGUGACAUCGUAUGAUGUCUAACUUUGAGAAAGAGACUCAGAAUUUUGAGCCAGAAGAAAUGGGGAGAACACACGGAGCCCCACGGAGAUGGGGCCAGAUCCUCCCCUUCUUUCAUCGAAGGCUCUGGAGCCGCUGAACCCGCCCCUGCCUCUCACCUUGAUCCCACAGUGCGCAGGCGCCCUCCAACCCGCCACUCCGGGCCAUCCGCCACAACUGUGUGGCGCGAAGAGGUGGCCACACUGCCCUCUUGCCGGAAGCCCUCCUGGGGUUCCCAACAGUCCAUGGACACAGUCACAUCGGAGAAGAGCCCACUUUCCUCCAGUGUGACCUCCUUCUAGCUCAACUUACUGCAUCUGCAAAGUCUCUAUUUCCAAAUACGUCCUACAUUCUCAGGUGCUAGGGGUUGGUACUUGAACAUAUGAAUUUGAGGGGAACUCAACUCACCUAUAACACAAGCUAAAGAUGAUGAACCUGAAAGACUGCCCCUGGCUAUACCUGCUCCAUAUUCUUCAUCCAGCUGGGAGCCACUCGACAGGUGUUUCUCCCAAAUCACUUCCUUCUCUACCCACAGGUGGUCAUUACAAGAGUGCCUUAUGGAAGAGCUUCAAAAAUCAUGCCGACAUGAAAGACACUGAUAUUAUCGCAAUUUUUAAUGUAAAAGAGAAAAAAAAUCUUAUUUGGAUCUCUUUUCUUCUAGAAAUGGAUGUCUAUUUUCAAAAUAUUGCACUGGCAGCUUCAGCAGAAGCAAUCUAUCGCCCGCAAAGGGGGAGCUGAGCCAACAAAUGCAUGCAGAUAUCAAUACAAGUCUGGGAUUCUACAUAAGCAGAGGGAGAGCUGACAGGGAGCUGGGCAGCCUGCCACCCAGGCGCUCUCUUAUAAAGAGUGUUCCGUUUCCCUUACAAAAUAAGAAGGGGCUGUGCUUGAUAUUCACAGAAGUUGGGGCAGAAGAACUAUCUAGUUCAUUCUUUUUUAAAAUGUGUUUCAUUUCUUAGCUUUCUUUUGUUGGGAUACUUUCUUUUUCAUAUAUAAAUUUUAUUGGAGCACAGUUAACUUACAAAGUGGUUAUAAGUUAGUUUCAGGUAUAUGGCAAAGUAGAUCAGUUAUACAUACAUAUAAUAUAUAUCCAUUCCUUUUCAGAUUUUUUUCCCCUUAUAUGUUAUUACAAAGCAUUGAUUAGUCCUUCUUACCUGUCCUUCGCAUACACGGUAGUGGAGUAACUUGCCCUUGGCAUGGAUCCAGCUAGAGAAAUAACAAUUCUGUAGUUUUCAGAAUUGAUCAAGGCAGUGUGUUCUUAUGCUAAAAUGGGGAAGGUUGUGUUUUUACUUCUACUUUAUAGAUCAAUAAACAGAAAGCCUAAGUGACUUAUUCAAGGCCACACAGCUUUUAAAUGGCAGAGGUGGGGUUAGAAAUCAUUCCUUCAGAGGGUUGAAAAAUUCAUAUUCUUUCCAUCGGCUCCAGCCUUGAAAACCGGGUUUGAAAUAUGAAAGUCAGAUGGAACAAAGACACUCCAAGAUCAAUACAUUUCUAAUUAAGAAAGGCACACACACAAAAAAACAACUCAGAAACUUCCUAAAGACAUAAAGAUUUUUAAAACCAUCCACCUGCGUGAAAGUUUUGAUUAUAGGAUUAGGAACACCAAAGGGCAUUUGACAGUUGACUAAGUGUUUUCACACUUAAGAUCUCAUUUAAUCCUCAGAAGUUUAUGGGAUGGUUUCUUAUUUUAUAACAAGGAACUCAAAGCCCAAGAUGGUAAAGGACGGAGUUCACGUGUCACUGACAAGGUGUGGUUUAGUAGAGCUCAAACUUGUAUUAAAGCAAAGACAAAUAUGAAGUCCCCUAAUCUACCCAUAUCCUUUCCCAUUUGUUUACAUUGAUCCUGGCCCUUGAAUGAAGCAGGCAGGCCAAUGAAAAACACUUAUAACCACAUAUCAUGGCUCUUUGCUGUGCAGCUGGCCCUCUCGUGACCCUUCCUCACCAUUGCUUUGGGACUCUGCUCCUGGUGACCCUGAAGGCUUUUCUAGAACUGGUCUUGCCUGGGGCGCUAUGGGGUGCAGAAUGCAGGAUACUGCGGGGGAGGGGGGGAACCCUCUUCUCUGCCGUCGCUGCCUUGCUCCAUUUUUCUCCAAUCCCUUGGCUUUGGUUAAGGGACAGUCUCUCUCCCCAUAUCCCCACCCCCGGCCACCCGAGCAGCCCACACCAGCUCACCUGGCUGCCUUUUCAACCCUCUGCCUCCCACGUGGUGGGAGCACAGGCAGGGCUGGGUCUUCUGGAGGCUGGGUGCUCACACUCUUCUCUUCCUUGUUGGGCUAAGUAUGGAUGAUGUUUCCCCUCAGGGCUCAGAUCCACACCUUGAAAAGCCCAUAAACACGACUCAAAGCGAAGGAGGGAGAAGGGCACUUAGUGUGUCCUCGUCCUUCAGGAGGGGUACCCUUCUAAGGCUGGCCUAAGUGACCUCUGAGUGUCCACGCUUCUGUUUUUUCCUUGAGUUUGUGGACACUUAAAGGGCAGGAGCGCAGCCCCCGCCUCAUGUUUGGAUGUUCAGCAUCUAACACUAAUAGACAUUUGGGGUUUUUUUGUGUGUGUGUCUUUUUUUGUCUUUUGAGGGCUGCACCUGUGGCAUAAGGAGGCUCCCACGCAAGGGGUCUAAUCGGGGCUGUAGCUGCCAGCCUACACCACAGCCACAGCAACGCCAGAUCUGAGCUGCGUCUGCGACCUACACCUCAGCUCACCAGAUCCUUAACCCACUGAGCGAGAACAGGGAUUGAACCCAAAACCUCAUGGUUCCUAGUCGGAUUCGUUGCUGCUGCAACAUGACAGGAACUCCAGGGGAUUUUUUUUUAAAGAGGAGAUACGUGAAUGGAUCUAUAACUGAGUGGGUAGAUUCUGUGAUGUGGCCUGUGGAGCAUGUGCUGUAGGAAAUCUCUUGAGGUGGAAAGCAAGGUGAAAUAUACCAGCUGGUGUAGAGCACAGAGAAAUGUUCUAGAAGUUGGAAGAUGGGGCUUGUUGUGUGAGGUCUGGAGGACCUAUGAGCUAAAUCCAUCCUAGAAUUUACUAGCAGGGAAAAAUGCUUUCUCUCCCAGGAAGCAAUUAUUGUACUUUUUCUUUGUCAAGGUAAUAAAAAUUUUUACAUCC